GAGGGUAUAGCUCAAUGGUGGAGUUCUUGCCUAGCAUGCACGAGGUCCUGGGUUCAAUCCCUGGUACCUCCA
rnacentral:tRNA from 1 species